rnacentral:rRNA from 1 species
GAUGAACGCUGGCGGCGUGCCUAAUACAUGCAAGUCGAGCGAACAGACGAGGAGCUUGCUCCUCUGACGUUAGCGGCGGACGGGUGAGUAACACGUGGAUAACCUACCUAUAAGACUGGGAUAACUUCGGGAAACCGGAGCUAAUACCGGAUAAUAUAUUGAACCGCAUGGUUCAAUAGUGAAAGACGGUUUUGCUGUCACUUAUAGAUGGAUCCGCGCCGCAUUAGCUAGUUGGUAAGGUAACGGCUUACCAAGGCGACGAUGCGUAGCCGACCUGAGAGGGUGAUCGGCCACACUGGAACUGAGACACGGUCCAGACUCCUACGGGAGGCAGCAGUAGGGAAUCUUCCGCAAUGGGCGAAAGCCUGACGGAGCAACGCCGCGUGAGUGAUGAAGGUCUUCGGAUCGUAAAACUCUGUUAUUAGGGAAGAAAAAAUGUGUAAGUAACUAUGCACGUCUUGACGGUACCUAAACAAAAAGCCACGGCUAACUUCGUG